AUGACUAUAUUUGCAAGUAUUGCUAAAGUAAUUUCAAGCGAGGGUUCCAUAUUUGCUGGAAACUGACAAGGCUACAGUGGAAAUGGAGUGCAUGGAAGAAGGAUAUCUUGCCAAAAUAAUACAUGGAGAUGGGUCCAAAGAGAUAAAAGUUGGUGAGAAAAAAUAUUAGAAUGUCCACCCGAAUCUCAAAACACAACUAAUAUUGUUGAUGAUACAAUUAGCAUUGUGUUUGGCAAAGAAGCUCGGGGUAGAGUGCGCGGAAUGGGCUUUGGAGUAACACCAUCGAAAGUUGGAGCUUCUGUGCAACAAAAUGGAACGGUUCAACAACUUCAAACUAUAGUACAAAAUGUUCAACAACAAAUGCAAGAAAUGAGGCAACAAAAUCAACUAGAAAUGCAAGAAAUGAGGUCUAUAUUUUUACAAAGUAUGAGACAACAAAAUCAUCCAGAACAGAUUGCUAGUGGUGACAUUUGUAGCGGUAUUGGGAAUGAAAUUGGUAGCAAUAGAGAUAUCAAUAUUGGUGC